rnacentral:lncRNA from 1 species
UGCUGUUUGAUACUGCGUGGUUUGUGGUUUCACAGUGAACUGCAAGUACCACUGCCGUGUCCGUGUGUGAUCUGAUCGUCUUCAUCAUAGAAGAGGAGUUGCAUUUGGAAGAGAGAGAGUGAUAAGAGUGUGUGUACAUACAGCACUGCAUCUAAUAAAGGACAGGACAAUCCAACAAAGAUAUGCUCAUUCACGCAUCACGAGACUGCAACAAGGCACGGCUGAGUCCUCAGCCCAUCCUUUGGUUUGUGGAUCUGUGAC